AUUUUAAAUAAAAGGACACAUUCUACUCUUGUAAAAACACGCUGAUUCCCGGACCGUCCGCGGGCCAGAUUUAGAAGGUGAUUGGGCCACAUCCGGCCCACGGGCCUUAGGUUGCCUACCCCUGGACUAGACAAUCCUUGGCAGGCCACAGGUUCUCCACCCCUGGGAUGCAUUAAUGUAUGAAUAUGACAAACCCAUUCACAAAGUCAUAUACAGUGGUACCUCGGGUUACAUAUGCUUCAGGUUACAUAUGCUUCAGGUUACAGACUCUGCUAACCCAGAAAUAGUGCUUCAGCUUAAGAACUUUGCUUCAGGAUGAGAACAGAAAUCGUGUGGUGGCAGCAGGAGGCCCCAUUAGCUAAAGUGGUGCUUCAGGUUAAGAACAGUUUCAGGUUAAGAACCGACCUCCGGAACGAAUUAAGUACCUAACCUGAGGUACCACUGUAAUGAGGCAGAGAGCCAGGGUAAAUGUAUUAGGCUGCAGGCUCAACCGCAGCUCCAAUUCCAGUUUGGUUUUCAACCGAGGAGCUUUCACGUCAAAAUAACAGCUGCUUGCAGAGCUGCCCUCUCUUCCUCAAAAGAAGCCCAUGUUUGUUUACUUUGCAAUUAAAGUAUUUCAGAAUUGGUUUAGCCUUGUGUUUGACUUUCCAUGGACUGCAGUAAAAUGUGUGUGCAUGUGUUUGUACGUGUGUGUGCGUGCGCACACAUUUGCAUUCCGUACUUUCCCGCAAGACACCAUUACAAUACAUUGGUUUGUACCAAAUGAAAAAUGUAAAAAUCUUGCUGAUGUGCUUGGUAUCACUAAGGGUCAUUCCGGAUGGUACUCUGUGCCCCUUUCAAACCUGCAACAGCUACAGCUAAGUGGUGGAGAGCAAUAAACCAAAGGAGACUGGGCUGCAGGGUUGUCUCAGAGAGAAAACUGGAAACCUGAACGUGAGAAGCUCCACACACAGAGAGAGACAGAGAGAGGUUUAGUUCUGUGCUGCUCUGCACUGGACUUUGGGGGAGCAAGAUCUGUUGGGGGGAUAAUGCUGUUAGUCUCCGCCUCCCAUGCUCAUAUAGAAAUAGAACCAUAUGUUCCAAAGACUCCAUAGUCUCACUUAGCUUCAUUCCAAAGAAACAGAACCCUGGCUAAGCGCGGGAACCUUUGGAGAGAGACUCUGAUCACUCGGGGGUCAGGGUGGCAUGUAACAACAGCAGCACUAAGGGAUAUUGCUUUACCAAAACAUGAAUGUAAGGAGAAAUUGGAACAAAAAG